rnacentral:rRNA from 1 species
CAACUUUUAACAACGGAUCUCUUGGUUCUCGCAUCGAUGAAGAACGUAGCAAAGUGCGAUAACUAGUGUGAAUUGCAUAUUCAGUGAAUCAUCGAGUCUUUGAACGCAACUUGCGCUCAAUGGUAUUCCAUUGAGCACGCCUGUUUCAGUAUC